GCGGCAGGCUUAACACAUGCAAGUCGAGGGGUAACAUAGGAAGCUUGCUUUCUGAUGACGACCGGCGCACGGGUGCGUAACGCGUAUACAAUCUACCUUAUACUGGGGUAUAGCCUUUAGAAAUGAAGAUUAACCCCCCAUAGUCUCUUAGAGUGGCAUCACUUCUAGAGUAAAGGUUACGGUAUAAGAUGAGUAUGCGUUCUAUUAGUUUGUUGGUGUGGUAACGGCACACCAAGACUACGAUAGAUAGGGGCCCUGAGAGGGGGAUCCCCCACACUGGUACUGAGACACGGACCAGACUCCUACGGGAGGCAGCAGUGAGGAAUAUUGGACAAUGGAGGCAACUCUGAUCCAGCCAUGCCGCGUGUAGGAUGACUGCCCUAUGGGUUGUAAACUACUUUUAUACAGGAAGAAACACCUCUACGUGUAGAGGCUUGACGGUACUGUAAGAAUAAGGAUCGGCUAACUCCGUGCCAGCAGCCGCGGUAAUACGGAGGAUCCAAGCGUUAUCCGGAAUCAUUGGGUUUAAAGGGUCCGUAGGUUGAUAAUUAAGUCAGAGGUGAAAUCUUGCAGCUCAACUGUAAAAUUGCCUUUGAUACUGGUUAUCUUGAGUUAUUAUGAAGUAGUUAGAAUAUGUAGUGUAGCGGUGAAAUGCAUAGAUAUUACAUAGAAUACCAAUUGCGAAGGCAGAUUACUAAUAAUCAACUGACACUGAUGGACGAAAGCGUGGGUAGCGAACAGGAUUAGAUACCCUGGUAGUCCACGCCGUAAACGAUGGUUACUAGCUGUUUGGACUUCGGUCUGAGUGGCUAAGCGAAAGUGAUAAGUACCCACCUG
rnacentral:rRNA from 1 species